UCCCCCCUGCCCGGUUCGACACGCAUGAUGCCCCGUGAACCUUACGAGGCCACCGGGAAGCGUUCCCGCCGACACCGCGCGAACUGCCGCGCGAGCUGGGCAGAGGCAGGUUUGUUGGUGUUACGCCGCCCACCUACAUACGUAGGUUCCGGUGGAUCGACGCGAACGGCCAUGGCGGGGGGGAA
rnacentral:other from 1 species